rnacentral:lncRNA from 1 species
GAAGUUUUUCUGAUUUUUUGUGCUUUUGAGUUUUCAUUUUCAGGAUUCAGAUCUGGAAGUUGAGAGACUGCAUUUUUUUUUGGGAAUAUUGGGGCUCAAAAACUUCUUUCUUUAAGGCAUGAGAACGCCCUUUUAACCCUCUAUUUUCUGACUUGUUUCUCAAGUAAGUGCACUACAAUUACUGAAACUACACAUGUACCCUAUUCUAGAAGAUUCUAGUGGAUUCUAUUCUAACCUACAACAUUCUAUCUGAUUAUUAAAUGCCCAAACUGCCCUUGUAUACUUCUAAAAUUACUUACCAAACUAUCUCCUAACUGAACCACAGUCAAUUGGCUACCACACUAAGAGUUAAUCAGCUAUAUCCAACCAGGUCCACAAACUCUAAGAUUGAAUACCCAACUACAACUUAAUCCUAAUUCAUACUUAAGCAAGCCAUUAAUCAAACGAAAUUAACAAUCAAUAUUAACAUAUACUAAACUAAACAACUAACAAAGAAUCAUCCACCAAUAAGGAAGAAACAAUUAGAAAAAUAACAAGAAUAAACAGGCCCGAAAUAAAUCAAAACAUGAAUCAAACACUAAAUCAAUUAACAUUAAAACUAUUGAAUUCAGACUAAUAACUACAAUUAUCAAAGCAUGAUCAACAUAGAAGAAAGCCAAUCCGACUAAUUAACUGAACAAGCAAUAAAUCAAGACCUAAACUCUAUAUCGACCAAACAGCCCUAAAUGAAGGAAAUACAAUUCAGAAUCCUAACUCAAACUAAUGCAAGAAGGAGAAGAAGGAAGUGGACGGAAAAUGAAGAAACUCACUAUCAAAAUUACCAAUUAAAACUCGCCGGCUUCAAUGACUUUGAGGCCAACGACAUUGAAUUCCUCGCUAGUGAGAAACGAGACUCUGGUACGUUUUCUUGAAGUCAACGGGAUGACUUAGGGUUUUUUGAAUGAUCUUGGAUUUGAAAAUCAAGGGCCUUGGUCGUGUUUUAAAGACGAUUACUUGCAAAUUAGUGAUGGGGAGAUGGAGGAGGUUCAGUGGUGUGAGUUUGGACCAGUUUGGACGGCACAGUAGCCGUGGACGGCGGAGAUGGUGACGCUUCUUUCAAUUAUUCGACGACCUCUAGUAGGAUUCGAAGAAAGAUGAUGGUAGAUUAGUGAAGGAGGAAUCGAGGCGGUAUAGGGGUGUUAUUUUGAGAGUCAUCGGAGAAGGUGGCGAUUUCCCCGGCGGGUGACAGCAGCGGCGUUACGAGGUUGUAGGAGGAAGAUGAGAGAGGGUAUGAGGAAGGGAUUGAUCUGUCUCUAGGGUUUUUAGAUAACUUUAU